GAUGAACGCUGGCGGCGUGCCUAAUACAUGCAAGUCGAGCGAACGGACGAGAAGCUUGCUUCUCUGAUGUUAUCGGCGGACGGGUGAGUAAAACGUGGAUAAACUCCCUAUUAGACUGGGAUAACUUCGGGGAAACGGAGCUAAUACCGGGUAAUAUUUUGAACCGCAUUGUUACAAAGUGAAAGACGGUCUUGAUGUCACUUAUAGAUUGAUCCGCGCUUCAUUAGCUAGUUGGUAAGGUAACGGCUUACCAAGGCAACGAUGCAUAGCCGCCCUGAGAGGGUGAUCGGCCACACUGGAUCUGGGACACGGUCCAGCCUCCUACGAGAGGCAGCAGUAGCAGAUCUUUCGCAAUGGGCGAAAGCCUGACGGAGCAACGCCGCGUGAGUGAUGAAGGUCUUCGGAUCGUAAAACUCUGUAAUUAGGGAAGAACAUAUGUGUAAGUGACUGUGCACAUCAUGACGGUACCUAAUCAGAAAGCCACGGCUAACUACGUG
rnacentral:rRNA from 1 species